GUAUAGGAGGUCCAGCCUGCCCAGUGACUACGGGUUCAACGGCCGCGGUAUUUUGACCGUGCAAAGGUAGCGCAAUCACUUGUCUCUUAAAUAGAGACCUGUAUGAAUGGCUAGACGAGGGCUUAACUGUCUCCCCCUUCCAGUCAGUGAAAUUGAUCUAUCCGUGCAGAAGCGGGUGUAAUUAUACAAGACGAGAAGACCCUUUGGAGCUUAAGGUAUAAAAUUCAGCCACGUUAAGUGACUCUACAAAAAGCAAGAACCUAGUGGCCAAUGAAGUUUUACCUUCGGUUGGGGCGACCACGGAGGAAAAAUAAGCCUCCGAGUGGACUGGGAUAAAUCCCAAAGCCAAUAGAUACAUCUAUAAGCCGCAGAACAUCUGACCAAAAAUGAUCCGACUGAAAAGCCGAUCAACGAACCAAGUUACCCUAGGGAUAACAGCGCAAUCCUCUCCCAGAGUCCAUAUCGACGAGGGGGUUUACGACCUCGAUGUUGGAUCAGGACAUCCUAAUGGUGCAGCCGCUAUUAAGGGUUCGUUUGUUCAACGAUUAAAGUCCUACGUGAUCUGAGUUCAGACCGG
rnacentral:rRNA from 1 species